rnacentral:misc_RNA from 1 species
AAGUCGUAACAAGGUUUCCGUGGGUGAACCAGCGGAAGGAUCAUUACAGAGAUCAUGCCCUUACGGGUAGACCUCCCACCCUGUGUUUUAUUACUAUUGUUGCUUUGGCAGGCCGCCUUUGGGCUCUCGGCUCCGGCUGGGGUGCGCCUGCCAGAGGACCCCAACUCUGUGUCUAGUGUCGUCUGAGUACUAUAUAAUAAGUUAAAA